rnacentral:lncRNA from 1 species
GUUUUUAUAACUUCAAUUCGGGAUUCGUGAUCCUAGUGACUUUAAUUUGAUUAAUUUUAAUAAAUUAGCUUUUAAACUUGCUUAAUUUCAUUUACUUGAGUGUUUAAGUCGUUUAAUUAGAGAAAUUUCGAAAUUAGGGUUUCUAAUUGAGAAAUUAGGGUUUUCAAUUGAAAUUAGGGUUUUGAAAUUAGGGUUUUUAGUUGAAAUUGGGGCUUUUUGCAUUUAGAUCACAUUUUCACUCAAUUAGAUUCGGUUAAGGCUAGAUUAAAUAGAAUUUAACUACUCAAUCUCUGAGGGACGAUAUUCGGACUUUUAAAAAUCCACUUUAUUACUUGUUACGAACCGUACACUUGCGGUAGUUUUAAAUCGAAAGAAUUAUUUCGUGAACA